rnacentral:ncRNA from 1 species
GCUUAGGUCUGUGGUUGAAAAUCGAUGCCAGUCGCAGGCGAAACGAUCCACGUAAGGAAUCAAAAAUGGUUUUGAGCAUGGUGCGGCUUAGAAGUAAGACCUGCCGAACAAAGAGUCGAGAGAAAGAGUUGUGAGGGGAAUCGUAUCCUAGUAGCUAAAUUUCCAGCAGGCGAGUGUGGGGGCAAAGACCAGGUCGGCUAAG